UAUUGGACAAUGGGCGAAAGCCUGAUCCAGCAAUGCCGCGUGAGUGAUGAAGGCCCUAGGGUUGUAAAGCUCUUUUACCCGGGAAGAUAAUGACUGUACCGGGAGAAUAAGCCCCGGCUAACUCCGUGCCAGCAGCCGCGGUAAUACGGAGGGGGCUAGCGUUGUUCGGAAUUACUGGGCGUAAAGCGCACGUAGGCGGCUUUGUAAGUCAGAGGUAAAGCCUGAGCUCAACUCCAGACUGCCUUUAGCUGCAUCGCUUAAUCCAGGGAGGUCAGUGAAUUCCAGUGAAGGUAAAUUCGAAUUUGGAAGACACCAGUGGAAGCGCUGCUGGCUGGUUAGCGUGCGGCAAAACG
rnacentral:rRNA from 1 species